rnacentral:snoRNA from 1 species
AAGGAGCUUUAAAAACAAACCAUUUCUGAAUGAACCCAGAGAGACAGUUUUCUUUGGUGGUCACUGUUGUUUGCUGUAACUGGUCUGCAACAUUUUGGAAAUAUACCAAU